GAACUANUCCCUCCGUCCGGAAUUACUUGUCAUCAAAAUGGAUGUGUCUAGAACUAAAAUACAUCUAGAUACAUCCAUUUCAAUGACAAGUAUUUUCGGACGGAGGGAGUACAAG
rnacentral:pre_miRNA from 1 species